rnacentral:lncRNA from 8 species
AUGUUGCUCUCCUACCAUGUUGUGUUUCUACCAUGUUGUGUUUCUACCAUGUUGCUCUGCUACGAAUGUUGUGUUGCUACCAUGUUGAGUUUCUACCAUGUUGUGUUGCUACCAUGUUGCUCUGCUAACAUUUUGCUCUGCUACCAUGUUGUGUUGUUACCAUGUUGUGUUUCUACCAUGUUGCUCUUCUACCAUGUUGCUGUGCUACCAUGUUGUUCUACUACCAUGUUGCUCUGCUUCCAUGUUGUUCUUCUACCAUGUUGUGCUUCUACCAUGUUGUGUUUCUACCAUGUAGCUCUACUACCAUGUUGUGUUUCUACCAUGUUGUGUUGCUACCAUGUUGUGCUCCUACCAUGUUGCUCUGCUACCAUGUUGUGCUGUUACCAUGUUGCUCUGCUACCAUGUUAUGUUUCUACCAUGUUAUGUUUCUACCAUGUUGUUCCUCUACCAUGUUGUUCUUCUACCAUGUUGCUCUCCUACCAUGUUAUGUUUCUACCAUGUUGCUCUGCUACCAUGUUGUGUUUCUACCAUGUUGCUCUUCAACCAUGUUGUUCUGCUACCAUGUUGCUCUUCUACCAUGUUGUUAUGCUACCAUGUUGUGCUGCUACCAUAUUGCUCUUCUACCAUGUUGCUAUGCUACCAUGUUGCUCUGCUACCAUGUUGUGUUUCUACCAUGUUGUCCUCCUACCAUGUUGCCCUGCUACCAUGUUGUUCUUCUACCAUGUUGUGUUUCUACCAUGUUGUUCUGCUACCAUGUUGUGCUGCUACCAUGUUGCUCUGCUUCCAUGUUGUGCUUCUACAAUGUUGCUCUGCUACCAUGUUGUUCUGCUACCAUGUUGUGCUUCUACCAUGUUGCUCUGCUACCAUGUUGUUCUGCUACCAUGUUGCUCUGCUACCAUGUUUUCUCUUCUACCAUAUUGCUCUGCUACCAUGUUGCUCUUCUACCAUGUUGCAUUUCUACCAUGUUGUGCUGCUACCAUGUUGCACUACUACCAUGUUGUCCUGCUACCAUGUUGUGUUUCUACCAUGUUGUUCUUCUACCAUGUUGUUCUUCUACCAUGUUGUGCUGCUACCAUGUUGAACUUCAAAUCAAAUCAAAUCAAAGUUUAUUUGUCACGUGCGCCGAAUACAACAGGUGUAUUUAUAUUUCACCUUACAGUGAAAUGCUUACUUACAGGCUCUAACCAAUAG